AUGAGCUUGAAAGAACAAAACCCACUAGAGUCAGAUUUAGAACAAGCCCCAAGCCCAACAUGAAAACAAAUAGUCUACAACUAUUAAUACAUAACAGCCCAAUUACAGACAGCAGCUGUGCCAGGCUGGCCCAAUCCAGCCCUUCCCAGCUGACUCUGAUCUCAGCUGCACGGGCUCACUCACAGACCGACAUCACCACCGAGGCAUCGCAAGUCUCCUCUCCCAGCACCUUUCCACAGCUCCAAGACAACUCGACCCUGGAUAAGCUACCAACCAAAUUUGAAACAGACCCCAACACAUGGGUAAAAUAAAGCCAGCAAGGGGGCACCAAAGUAUUUAGAAGUUGAUGGUUUUCUGCUGUGAGAACCUGACUCGAAGAGGAAAUAUCUUGAGCAUUAUGAAAGAGGAGAGACCCCGCAGCUAAGGGAGCAGCUGUACCGAGGAAAAGCACAACCAGCUCCUGCUGAGAGGUACCCAACGGGCAGGAGGAGCAGUGGCAGCAGCACCUGGGCAUCCAGACAACCGCACCGCAGUCAGACAACGCCACUGCCUCUGUCUCGGGCACUGUGUCCCAACUGCCUGCAAAUGCAGCACAUCCCACACACCUCCCUGGUGACCAGGAGACACAUCAGCGCAUGUUCCUCCUCCUACCGGUGGAUCAGAGCAGGCCCACCUCGCAAAAAAGGUUUCUUCUCCCUUUCCUGUAUCCUUUUGCAUGCAGUUAACAAACAGUAGCUCCCUAACUCAUUCUCCUACCUUUUUUCAAUGGCUCUCCUAUAAAAAGAAUAAAUAAUAAUAAUGACUAGAUAGUCUAUUUCUCUAUAAACUAUGGUAAGAGACUCUGCAGCACUUCAGCACACUUGUCCAGGUUCCUCCGCUGCUCCGUACAGAUUCACCUGCUCUUCUCCCACGUGUGCCACAGCACCACACUGGCUGAAGAGGCCGACAAAUGGAAUGAGCAGUUCUCAGAAACCAAAGCUCAGCAGCUUCCACGCUGACAGUUCUUGAGCUGUAACCCCGCCACGACCUCCAGACUAAGUCUUUCCCCAUAACUGUUCCAUUAAUUAUUGCAGGAGUACCAAAAAACACUCGCUGCACGCCCCGCUCGCCCUUCCCUCUCCAGACUGUGUCUCCAGGAGGUUCCCGCCCGGGUAGUCAUUGCCGCGUAAGAGAAUGAAUGCUGUCUGCAACUGCUAACCUAAAGAUAUGUAAAUCCAUUCGGUUUUAGGUCAGCCAAGGCAGCAGAGCUAAGAAGGAUUUGCAAGACUCUUGAUUUGAAGCUACAGAAACUACUGACCUCGCAGCUUUAGGCCUUUCAAAGCCCACACAACUAUUUGAGUCUUGUUUCCACAGGUAUCUCGAGACUGUUGGGUAAAGUGGCCGUUAGCUGAGUGUUGCUCCUUACACGCUAAAAUGAUUAUGUAACCACUAUGGAAAUGCAUCACCAGGCGUCGCUUUAGGGCUGCCCUGAGUACCGAUAAGAUUUCGUACAUAACGGCUGUUUUCCUUCUGGCACUCCGGCUUUAUUCCAGCACGCAGACUUGCACAGCUCCUCAAUAAACAACAUCUCGUGUCCGUGUCCUAA